GUCCCACUGGGAACAUGUGCUGCAAUAAAUAAUUAUACCUGUUCUUAUCAGCUUGAUAUCUGAUACACCCUCCACAGGGGGGUCCAGAAUAUUAGCCUGAUUUUUGGGAAUUUGCGGAGGUAGGAGCUUGCUCCACCGCUGCUACGGGUUAGCCCGGCAUUGCAGUGCCGCUGGGAUUAGCCCUACGUAC